rnacentral:lncRNA from 1 species
GGAAUCUCUAAAUUGUAGUGCUGAAUAAUAAAAAUGAUAAAAAUUCCCUCACACGCUUACCCUAUUCAUCAAUUCAAUAAACAUUUCAGCAAUUUAAGCAAAUUAGAACGUCACAUCAGAUUUAAAUACCAGAAAAAACAAAUACAGAUUUCAGCAAUUUCAGCAUCAAGUCGAUAAACAUUUCAGCAACUUCUGCAUCAAGAAAACUCAACAUUAUCAGCUCAGAUUUCAAGUAUUAUAAAAUCAAAUUUCAAACAUUAUCAGAUUAUUUUGUGUACAUUUGAUUCAAGCAUUACCACAUCAGAAAACAACACAUGGUCAUCUGAAUUCAGAAUAGAAAAAAAAAAAGCAAAACAGCCAUAGCGGUUCAGAGGAAAAAGAAAAGAAAAAAAAAAGCUUCUUACAACCUGAGGCAUUUCGGCAUUAUAACAUCUUACUUGCAUCUCUUUAGAGCAUUUACUUGCAUCUCUUUAGAGCAUCCACAGUAGGAGUUUUUUCAAAGAGCUUGUAAGCUCUUGUCAUGUGUUGUUCCAACGAUUGUAUGAUUGUGGUGGGUUCCAUAUGUUUUCAACCAAUUAUAAAUAGACAGUUUAUAUAUAAGCUGUAAAAUGAAAAAAAAAUAAUGGUUCACUUUAAUAAACAAAUUGAAAAAGCUCUCCUAUUGUAAUGAUAUAAUGAGUUUUUUCAUGAAAAAACUCUCCUAUUGGGGAUGCUUAUAUUGUUACAACAUUAUACUUUCAAUUUAUAAGACAUUAUACUUGAACAACAACAAUAUCCUGAAUCCUUGAUGAAUAGGGUAAGGGUUUGGUUAGAUGUAUGCACAGGUACCUUCAGUAAGGGCUAGAGAGAGCUUGCUUCCAUGGAUGACCUCCAACAUAUAUAAUAUUAGACCAGAAUGGUACAAAUAGGGAGGAGGAGGAGGAGGAGGAGGAGGCAUAUAGCUUGAAGAGAAAAGGAACUAACUAUACAUGUAUACAUACUAUAAAGGAGGAACUAACUAUAUGGCUUGAAGAGAAAAGGAAAAAAUAGAGUUGAGGAACAAGUAAGGGAAAAAGCAAGCUAAAUUAAAUGUCAU